GUAGAGCAGCGGUUCUGAAGAGUCAUGGUUGUUGUGCAGAAGACGAUAUGGUUAAGACGGUAACGGGCCCGACUAACAUAGGUUUCGUUAAGAAUAAAGAAUCCAGAGGUGUCGUCGAAGCUGAGUGACGGGUUGACGGAGUGGUUAAUGGAGGAGACGCCGUGAGACAAGAGAACGUUAAAGAUAUGGAGUGUUGGUUGUCGUUCGUCGUUGCCAGUCGUUCACGUCCGUCGUCUCUUUGUGGUGUCGGUGGGAAGAAGAGAUCGUCGUCGUGGUCUUGUUGUUCGUCGAGGUCGUUUGAGUCGUCAUCGUCAGUGUCUGGUUUGGUCGACGUGUGUUGUCGUUAGCCGUCUGAAGGAGGAAGUUAGUCGUUUUGGUCGUCGUUCAGUUGAGUCGUGGUGCGUGUCGUUGAGGGCGCACGAGUGGGUCAUCGUCGUCGUCUAGGCGUCGUCGUUGUUCGGGUUCCUUGUUCGGGUUCCUUGUUGUGUUCUGUCGGUCGUGUCGUGAAGUCGAGAGGUGGUGGCGAGGAGGAGACG
rnacentral:rRNA from 1 species